rnacentral:rRNA from 1 species
CAGUAGCCACGGUAACACGUAGGGUGCGAGCGUUAAUCGGAAUUACUGGGCGUAAAGCGUGCGCAGGCGGUUAUAUAAGACAGAUGUGAAAUCCCCGGGCUCAACCUGGGACCUGCAUUUGUGACUGUAUAGCUAGAGUACGGUAGAGGGGGAUGGAAUUCCGCGUGUAGCAGUGAAAUGCGUAGAUACGCGGAGGAACACCGAUGGCGAAGGCAAUCCCCUGGACCUGUACUGACGCUCAUGCACGAAAGCGUGGGGAGCAAACAGGAUUAGAUACCCGAGUAGUCCCUGUCUCUUAUAC